CCUACGGGCGGCAGCAGUGGGGAAUCUUCCGCAAUGGGCGCAAGCCUGACGGAGCAACGCCGCGUGAGUGAAGAAGGUCUUCGGAUCGUAAAGCUCUGUUGAUGGGGACGAACGUGCCUAAUGCGAAUAGUUUUAGGCAAUGACGGUACCCAUCGAGGAAGCCACGGCUAACUACGUGCCAGCAGCCGCGGUAAUACGUAGGUGGCGAGCGUUGUCCGGAAUCAUUGGGCGUAAAGGGAGCGCAGGCGGGCAUGUAAGUCUUUCUUAAAAGUGCGGGGCUCAACCCCGUGAUGGGAAAGAAACUAUGUGUCUUGAGUACAGGAGAGGAAAGCGGAAUUCCCAGUGUAGCGGUGAAAUGCGUAGAUAUUGGGAGGAACACCAGUGGCGAAGGCGGCUUUCUGGACUGCAACUGACGCUGAGGCUCGAAAGCCAGGGGAGCGAACGGGAUUAGAUACCCGGGUAGUC
rnacentral:rRNA from 1 species